ACUCCUACGGGAGGCAGCAGUGGGGAAUAUUGCACAAUGGGCGCAAGCCUGAUGCAGCGACGCCGCGUGAGGGAUGACGGCCUUCGGGUUGUAAACCUCUUUCAGUAUCGACGAAGCGUAAGUGACGGUAGGUACAGAAGAAGGACCGGCCAACUACGUGCCAGCAGCCGCGGUAAUACGUAGGGUCCGAGCGUUGUCCGGAAUUACUGGGCGUAAAGAGCUCGUAGGUGGUUUGUCGCGUUGUUCGUGAAAACUCACAGCUCAACUGUGGGCGUGCGGGCGAUACGGGCAGACUGGAGUACUGCAGGGGAGACUGGAAUUCCUGGUGUAGCGGUGGAAUGCGCAGAUAUCAGGAGGAACACCGGUGGCGAAGGCGGGUCUCUGGGCAGUAACUGACGCUGAGGAGCGAAAGCGUGGGGAGCGAACAGGAUUAGAUACCCUGGUAGUCCACGCCGUAAACGGUGGGUACUAGGUGUGGGUUUCCUUCCUUGGGAUCCGUGCCGUAGCUAACGCAUUAAGUACCCCGCCUGGGGAGUACGGCCGCAAGGCUAAAACUCAAAGAAAUUGACGGGGGCCCGCACAAGCGGCGGAGCAUGUGGAUUAAUUCGAUGCAACGCGAAGAACCUUACCUGGGUUUGACAUGCACAGGACGUGCCUAGAGAUAGGUAUUCCUUGUGGUCUGUGUGCAGGUGGUGCAUGGCUGUCGUCAGCUCGUGUCGUGAGAUGUUGGGUUAAGUCCCGCAACGAGCGCAACCCUUGUCUCAUGUUGCCAGCACGUAAUGGUGGGGACUCGUGAGAGACUGCCGGGGUCAACUCGGA
rnacentral:rRNA from 1 species